rnacentral:lncRNA from 1 species
CAGCAUCUCUGACCUCUCACCCUAUGUACUCCUAAUUCCUCCUGGUGCCUGGCCAACAUGCAGUAACUCUUCCCCUCUUGUUGAAGCCCCUCUUCCCCAAACUCCAGAUUCUCUCCAGCCCUCUGCGUGCCUCCUGCUAACAUCCCCUUGCAGUCACUGGCUCUCUGGACAUCUCUCUUCCCCAUUCACGGCCACUGGCCUCUCUCACCACAGACUGUCCUUUCAUUGGCCAUGAGUAUGCUGACAGCUUCCUGUUUAAAUCUCCCAUCCCAGACAUCCCAUCCAAAUCUGGAUGUGUGCAAGAAACUACACUACACAGCUCCUCCGCGGACUCAGGAGCACAGCCAAGACCAAAACUCACCAUCCUCCCUCCACAGCCUCAUGUGGGCAUUCUAAUGCUGCAUUCUAGAAUCUAGGAGUUGUGCUGGGCACGUCCUGACCCUCACUACCUAAUUUUCCAAGAAUCCAUCUGCUUCUUUCCACUCCCACUGCUACCCACCACCUAGUGCCGUCCUGUCCAUCUGCCCCCUGACCUGCCAUGUUGACUCCCACAUGUACCCUGCCACCUCCACAUAUACAGUGAUACUUUCAAGAUUGAAAUUUGGCCUGUCUCCCACACUAAGAACAACAUAACAGCAAAAUCAACAAAAUUACAUAAAAUCUGCCUUCGAGCCCCCCUGAAGUGGAUGCAAUGGGAUGGACCAAAGACAGCACUAAGAGGACCUGGAAAGCAGGAUAGUAGUGUCACAGCUCAUGAGGACCACAGCACUGCCUUGUAUAAUGUCUGCAAGGGUGACUGGACAGAGUUCUCAUCUACGCUUCACUUUUGAAUCAUCUUACCUCAGAGAACUUCCUGAGCCAUAGAGGAGGUGAUGCCACAGACCCUUGGGCUCACCAGCUGGGUUGUAAGAAGCAGGGAGUUCCAUCAUCUGAGGAUCCAUACAAUGUGGACAGCACUUCUUGUUUACCAAAUUGUUGAGGCCAAAAGGAAAAUGUCUCUUCUUCCCUCCACUUCUUUUUACUCCCAGACUCAGAACUGAUCUUGAAUUAAGAGAAGACCUAUUCCAAAC